rnacentral:rRNA from 1 species
CCUACGGGUGGCAGCAGUGGGGGAUAUUGCACAAUGGGGGAAACCCUGAUGCAGCGACGCCGCGUGGGCGAAGAAGUAUUUCGGUAUGUAAAGCCCUAUCAGCAGGGAAGAAGAAAUGACGGUACCUGAGUAAGAAGCACCGGCUAAAUACGUGCCAGCAGCCGCGGUAAUACGUAUGGUGCAAGCGUUAUCCGGAUUUAUUGGGUUUAAAGGGUGCGUAGGCUGUGAGGUAAGUCUGAUGUUAAAGCCCGGGGCUCAACUCCGGUUCGGCAUUGGAUACUAUCUAGCUAGAAUGUGGUAGAGGUAAAGGGAAUUCCUGGUGUAGCGGUGAAAUGCGUAGAUAUCAGGAGGAACAUCGGUGGCGAAAGCGCUUUACUGGACCAUUAUUGACGCUGAGGAACGAAAGCCAGGGGAGCAAAUGGGAUUAGAUACCCUGGUAGUC